CCUCAUUGCAAGCCAAGUCAUUUGUCCCUAGAUGGACAAGUACAUCCAAUUCCCCUUCCUGCUUUGCUUGCUUAACAAUAUUACAGAUACGUCUCCUGUCUCUGUGAGCAGUAGCUCCGGGAAGACACCUCACAAGACCACCAUUGUCCAUCUCCACACCUCUUAUAAUGGAAUCCCCCAACAACAACUGCUUUCUAUUAGGCCUCACCAUAGUCUCCAAGCCGGUCUCCACAACACCACUAGUCUCAGUGCCUCUCUCCACAACACCACUAGCCUCAGUGUCUCUCUCCACAACACCACUAGCCUCAGUGCCUUUCUCCACAACACCACUAGCCUCAGUGCCUCUCUCCACAACACCACUAGCCUCAGUGCCUCUCUCCACAACACCAUUACACUCUGAAAGUGCAGAAAAUGAAUUAUGAAGAGCAACAGACUGUGCAAAAUGCCUUUUAUCCACAACUCUAAGUCUACCAGAUCCUACAGUAAUCCAUCUGCCUUUCC